rnacentral:tRNA from 4 species
CGGGGCGUGGCGCAGUCUGGUAGCGCACCUGGUUUGGGACCAGGGGGUCGGAGGUUCGAAUCCUCUCGCCCCGACCA